rnacentral:lncRNA from 1 species
CGUUUAGUUCUUUUCGUGAGACAGGGACUCUCUCUGUCGCCCAGGCUGGAGUGCAGUGGCGCGAUCUCACGUCACUGCGGCCUCUGAAACCGCCUUUGCAAAAAUUAUCACUGAGGAAAUGACAGUGGAAGAGAUGAGACCUAAGGGGCUCCGUCGUGCUUCCCACCCUUAAGCUGUCCUGGUUCAUUCCUGGGCGUGGGCAGAGCUAACUUUGGGAAGGAUUUCAGUUCAUGGUUUCACUCUGAAUCAAAGUCAACAGCCCUUUCCAGAAAAAACCCCCGUCUUGCCUGAAGACCAGUCUGCCUUUGCAGGACUAAUAAAUCAGCUGCAAAAUUAGAAAUUGGCCGGGCGCCGUGGCUCACGCCUGUAAUCCCAGCACUUUGGGAGGCCGAGGCGGGCAGAUCAUGAGGUCAGGAGAUCGAGACCAUCCUGGCUAAUACGAUGAAACCCUGUCUCUACUAAAAAUACAAAAAAUUAGCCGGGCGUGGUGGCGGGCGCCUGUAGUCCCAGCUACUCGGGAGGCUGAGGCAGGAGAAUCGCUUGAACCUGGGAGGCAGAGGUUGCAGUGAGCCGAGAUGGAGCCACUGUACUCCAGCCUGGGCGACAGAGCGAGGCUCAGUCUGAAAAAAAAAAAGAGUCUGAACCUCCCCAAAUUGCUCCUGGGGAUAACAUCACUAUUGUAAAAUCUAAGAUCAGGCCGGGUGUGGUGGCUCACGCCUGUAAUCCCAGCACUUUGGGAGGCCAAGUCGGGUGGAUCACGAGGUCAGGAGUUUGAGACCAGCCUGGCCAGUAUGGUGAAACCCUGUCUCUACUAAAAAUACAAAAAGUAGCCUGGGGUGGUGGCGCUCGCUUGUAGUUCCAGCUACUUGGGAAGCUGAAGGAGAAGAAUCGCUUGUACCCUGGAGGUGGAAGUUGCAGUGAGCCAAGAUCAUGCCAUUGUGCUCCAGCCUGGGUGACGGAGCAAGACUCUGUCUCAAAAAGCACAACAACAACAAAAACCUAAGCUCAAAGAUCAGUGCCUGAAAUAUUUAGCAGAGCGUGCACUGGAUGGAUCAGCUGGUACCACCCAGACCGGUCAUCUGGCCCAACCGGUUCUGCCAUGCCCGCCAGGAACAGAAGAGUCUGAACGUGAGUCCAUCUCCAACCUGACCAACCAGCACUCCCCACUUCCCAAGCCUCUACCCUCCAAAUUAUCUUUAAAAAUUCCUAUCCCCAAAUGCUCCGGCUGACUGAUUUGAGUAAUAAUAGAACUCCUGUGUCCCGCACAGCCAGCUCUGCGUGAAUUACUCCUUCUCUAUUGCACUCCCCCUGUCUUGAUAAAUUGGCUCUCUCUAGGCAGCAGGCAAGUUGAACCCAUUCGGCACUUAGACCUCUGCCUCCCGGGCUCAAGUGAUUCUCCCACCUCAGCUUCCUGACUGGCUGGGACCACAGGCGCCCACCACCAAGC